rnacentral:lncRNA from 1 species
GUGAGUAAAUCACCAGACAAAGACACUUAACAAACAAUGUGAUAGAUAGAUAGAUAGAUAGAUAGAUAGAUAGAUAGAUAGAUAGAUAGAUAGAAUUUAGAAACACACACCUUUGCAGCUGAAUAACUGAAUGAUAUUUCCUAUCUUAACUCUGUUGCAAAAGUGUCACAGUCUAUAGUUAGACUCGUUUUACUAUAGCAGAGAAUAGCAGUGAAAACAUAAUGGCAUUUUGAUAAAUGGGUGUCUAUGUGUAUCUAAAAGUGUUAGUGCUUAAAGUGAGGUGCCCUUUCUAAGUGCUCAGAUAGAAUGUUGUCCUGUGUAGAGUGUUGGUGUGUGAGAGUCGUUUUGUUCCCAAAGGACUGUUCACCAGUCUCUCUCUUCUCGUUUCUCUACCGAGGCUACACCUGUCCUUGCCAUGUUCCCAAAGGACUGUUCACCAGUCUCUCUCUCUCUUUCUCUCCAGGCUACACCUGUCCUUGCCAUCAGGAUCUCUAAUUAAUCACAGAGGACCUCCUCCCCACUUUCUCCAACCAACAAAGUGGAGACCAUCAGUGGAGCCAAGAGAGGACCUGGGUGAGGGGGAAUUGGAUUUUGCAGUUGCCGGGCCCUCAUGCUUUUUGAUGCCAAGAAAAGCAACCCAGCUGAACAAAUCAGGAACAUGCCCCCAAAGCUGCAGGGUUCCCCACGGAGACAACCUUUACGCCGCUGAAGUCAGAGGUCGUCCGUUCCAGAGGGAAACAGUGGCGACACCCCAGUGCCUGAGGAGACAGAGGCGUUCAGUAGACUAAUGGGGUCUGACUUCAUCAUUAAGAAGGUGGACAAAUCAUUAUAUACACCCACACAUUCAUUAGAAAGACACAAAUCUGCAGGUCUGCUUACAUUAGUCAGAAAGAAAGAACGAAUUUCAGAUACAUUUUAUUUAAAAGAUCAUUGGCUUUGUUCAUUCAUUAUCAUUUUCACAUUCAUGGAGUAAAGUUUUAUGUUUCUAAAUAAAAUGCAUUAAAAUUUUCCGUAAAGAAAGUCCAUGGAGAUCCACUGUUCCCCCUAAGAAGAGUUACCCCAUCACCCUAAACUUGUCCAUUUAGUGUGAGCAAUUGGAUUAGGCCAUUUGGUUUGUGUAGUGUCAGAGACUAAAUGGAUGGCUAGGCACCAUGAUGGAUGAACAUAGCCAACAAGGCAUCCUUCCAUCUGACAGACCAACAUACAUCAUCUAUUAGCCUCAUUUUUGGCCACUCAGUGGCCACAUCAUGGCCAGAGUAACCAAAUGUGUGACCACAGGGACAGCAGUAUCACAAGUCUGAAUCUUUAACCCUUUAUUGGAGCUCUUCAGCAUAAACCAUUUAAAAUAAUUGCAUUUAAGAUUUUAAUCACAUUUCACAUGUAGGAAACCCUACAUGUUCAAUCAAAUGCAAAAUAUAUGGAGUCGUAAACACAUGGAAGUUUUGAUUUAACAUAGAAAGAUGUUCCAAUGUGAAUUACUUCUGAUGAAUGAUUAGAAUGUCUUUGGAAAAAAACAAACAUCUGGCUAAUGGAUAAAAAGGCAAAUGGGUAAUGAUUAUAAAUCAGAUGGCAAAUUAAAUUCACAUUUAAAAUGAUAAAUUUUUCUUAUUGAUACAUUUUAGAACUAUUUAAAAUACUUUAAAUAUAUUUGCACUUUAAAGUUAUAUAUCAAUGUAUUAUUUUAUGGUUACAUUUUUAAAGAUUAUUAAAAAAAAUACUUUAAAUACAUUUGCACUUAAAACAUAUUAAUGUGUUAUUUUACUGUUAUAUUUUUAAACAUUUAUAAAAAUAAAAUAUAUUCACG